rnacentral:rRNA from 1 species
GAUGAACGCUGGCGGCGUGCCUAAUACAUGCAAGUCGAGCGAACAGACGAGGAGCUUGCUCCUCUGACGUUAGCGGCGGACGGGUGAGUAACACGUGGAUAACCUACCUAUAAGACUGGGAUAACUUCGGGAAACCGGAGCUAAUACCGGAUAAUAUAUUGAACCGCAUGGUUCAAUAGUGAAAGACGGUUUUGCUGUCACUUAUAGAUGGAUCCGCGCCGCAUUAGCUAGUUGGUAAGGUAACGGCUUACCAAGGCAACGAUGCGUAGCCGACCUGAGAGGGUGAUCGGCCACACUGGAACUGAGACACGGUCCAGACUCCUACGGGAGGCAGCAGUAGGGAAUCUUCCGCAAUGGGCGAUAGCCUGACGGAGCAACGCCGCGUGAGUGAUGAAGGUCUUCGGAUCGUAAAACUCUGUUAUUAGGGAAGAACAAAUGUGUAAGUAACUAUGCACGUCUUGACGGUACCUAAUCAGAAAGCCACGGCUAACUACGUG